GACAGAGGCCCCGAGCGUUAGGCGGAAUCACUGGGCUUAAAGCGUGUGUAGGCGGAUCGUUAAGUGUCUUGUGAAAUCCCACGGCUCAACCGUGGAACUGCUGGGCAUACUGGCGAUCUUGGGCCAUUCAGGGGCGACCGGAACAAGCGGUGGAGCGGUGAAAUGCGUAGAUAUCAAGAGGAACACCUGAGGCGAAGGCGGGUUGCUAGGCUGACACUGACGCUGAGUGCGCGAAAGCCAGGGGAGCAAACGGG
rnacentral:rRNA from 1 species